rnacentral:rRNA from 1 species
UACGUAGGGGGCUAGCGUUGUCCGGAUUUAUUGGGCGUAAAGAGCGUGUAGGCGGCCAGGUAGGUCUGCUGUGAAAACUGGAGGCUCAACCUUCAGAGGUCGACCGAAACCAUCUGGCUAGAGUCCGGGAGAGGAGAGUGGAAUUCCUGGUGUAGCGGUGAAAUGCGCAGAUAUCAGGAGGAACACCGGUGGCGAAGGCGGGUCUCUGGGCAGUAACUGACGCUGAGGAGCGAAAGCGUGGGGAGCGAACAGG